CGGUUGAUCCUGCCGGAGGUUACUGCUAUCGAGGUUCGACUAAGCCAUGCGAGUCGAAUGUAGCAAUACAUGGCGUACUGCUCAGUAACACGUGGACAACCUACCCUUGGGACGGGGAUAAACCCGGGAAACUGGGUAUAAUACCCGAUAGAUCUCGAAUGCUGGAAUGCAUCGAGUUCGAAAGUUCCGGCGCCCAAGGAUGGGUCUGCGGCCUAUCAGGUAGUAGUGGGUGUAGCGUACCUACUAGCCUACGACGGGUACGGGUUGUGAGAGCAAGAGCCCGGAGAUGGAUUCUGAGACACGAAUCCAGGCCCUACGGGGUGCAGCAGGCGCGAAAACUUUACAAUGCUGGAAACAGCGAUAAGGGAACCUCGAGUGCCAGGUUACAAAUCUGGCUGUCGUGAUGCCUAAAAAGCAUUGCAUAGCAAGGGCCGGGCAAGACCGGUGCCAGCCGCCGCGGUAACACCGGCGGCUCGAGUGGUAACCGUUAUUAUUGGGUCUAAAGGGUCUGUAGCCGGCCGGAUAAGUCUCUUGGGAAAUCUGGCAGCUUAACUGUCAGGCUUUCAGGGGAUACUGUCUGGCUCGAGGCCGGGAGAGGUGAGAGGUACUUCAGGGGUAGGGGUGAAAUCUUGUAAUCCUUGAAGGACCACCAGUGGCGAAGGCGUCUCACCAGAACGGACCUGACGGCAAGGGACGAAAGCUAGGGGCACGAACCGGAUUAGAUACCCGGGUAGUCCUAGCCGUAAACGAUACUCGCUAGGUGUCGGCCACGGUGCGACCGUGGUCGGUGCCGUAGGGAAGCCGUGAAGCGAGCCACCUGGGAAGUACGGCCGCAAGGCUGAAACUUAAAGGAAUUGGCGGGGGAGCACCACAACGGGUGGAGCUUGCGGUUUAAUUGGAUUCAACGCCGG
rnacentral:rRNA from 1 species